GGGGCACGGAUGCCCCCGCUGCUGUAGAAAGAUUUCUCACAUUCAGAUUCCCACUGAACUACUUGAAAACACUAAACACAAUGUGUUGAGGGGUUAGAUAACACAACCUAUUAUCAUAUAAAGAUCAAUAAUUGAACAAAAUUCACGAACAAGUUCAAUAAAUAUCUAUGCAACUAUGAGAUGCACAUCUUUCGAGUCCCAGUGAAACACAUGUGUAAGCUUAAUCAAUUCUUUUGAGCAGUUUUUGUGGAGAAGUGGAUAGACUUAAUCCCCUAUUUCACUAUCAUCAGUGAGAAAUUCAACAAACUUUAUCUAAG